GAUGAACGCUGGCGGCGUGCCUAAUACAUGCAAGUCGAGCGAACGGACGAGAAGCUUGCUUCUCUGAUGUUAGCGGCUGACGGGUGAGUAACACGUGGAUAACCUACCUAUAAGACUGGGAUAACUUCGGGAAACCGGAGCUAAUACCGGAUAAUAUUUUCAACCGCAUGGUUCAAAAGUGAAAGACGGUCUUGCUGUCACUUAUAGAUGGAUCCGCGCUGCAUUAGCUAGUUGGUAAGGUAACGGCUUACCAAGGCAACGAUGCAUAGCCGACCUGAGAGGGUGAUCGGCCACACUGGAACUGAGACACGGUCCAGACUCCUACGGGAGGCAGCAGUGGGGAAUAUUCCGCAAUGGGCGAAAGCCUGACGGAGCAACGCCGCGUGGGUGAUGAAGGUCUUCGGAUCGUAAAACUCUGUUAUUAGGGAAGAACAUAUGUGUGAGAAUCUGUGCACAUCUUGACGGUACCUAAUCAGAAAGCAACGGCUAACUACGUG
rnacentral:rRNA from 1 species